UGGUCGUUGUGUCAUUUCUGACCUUCCCUGAAAAUUUCAUCUAAAUCUGUUUGUUCUAUUUUGAGUAAUGCUGCUGACAGACAGACGGACAAACCAAAGCCAAUCGUUGCAUAAAUCCACCAUGUUCACUGACGGAGUAAAAAUAUGAAUUUUAGAGGAAAUAAAACUGGAGGUUGUGUAGUGAAACAACAGGAUUGUUCAACUGGACUUGGUUCUCGAAGACGUUCCACCUCUUGCCCAAGAUGAGAGGUGGAACGUCUUCAAGAACCAUCCAAGAUGAGAGGUGGAACGUCUUCCAGAACCAUCCAAGAUGAGAGGUGGAACGUCUUCGAGAACCAUCCAAGAUGAGAGGUGGAACGUCUUCGAGAACCAUCCAAGAUGAGAGGUGGAACGUCUUCCAGAACCAUCCAAGAUGAGAGGUGGAACGUCUUCCAGAACCAUCCAAGAUGAGAGGUGGAACGUCUUCGAGAACCAUCCAAGAUGAGAGGUGGAACGUCUUCGAGAACCAUCCAAGAUGAGAGGUGGAACGUCUUCCAGAACCAUCCAAGAUGAGAGGUGGAACGUCUUCCAGAACCAUCCAAGAUGAGAGGUGGAACGUCUUCGAGAACCAUCCAAGAUGAGAGGUGGAACGUCUUCCAGAACCAUCCAAGAUGAGAGGUGGAACGUCUUCGAGAACCAUCCAAGAUGAGAGGUGGAACGUCUUCCAGAACCAUCCAAGAUGAGAGGUGGAACGUCUUCCAGAACCAUCCAAGAUGAGAGGUGGAACGUCUUCAAGAACCAUCCAAGAUGAGAGGUGGAACGUCUUCCAGAACCAUCCAAGAUGAGAGGUGGAACGUCUUCAAGAACCAUCCAAGAUGAGAGGUGGAACGUCU